rnacentral:rRNA from 1 species
AAUGAACGCUGGCGGCGCGCCUAAUACAUGCAAGUCGAGCGAGAAGACGUAGCAAUACGUUUGUAAAGCGGCGAACGGGUGAGGAAUACAUGGGUAACCUACCCUCGAGUGGGGAAUAACUAGCCGAAAGGUUAGCUAAUACCGCGUACGCUUCUUGGACUUCGGUUCAGGGAGGAAAGCGAUACCGUGGGUAUCGCGCUCUUGGUUGGGCUCAUGUCCUAUCAGCUUGUUGGUGAGGAACGGCUCACCAAGGCUUCGACGGGUAGCUGGUCUGAGAGGACGAUCAGCCACACUGGCACUGCGACACGGGCCAGACUCCUACGGGAGGCAGCAGUAAGGAAUAUUGCGCAAUGGGCGAAAGCCUGACGCAGCGACGCCGCGUGGGGGAUG